CAUGUCCUUUUGAGAAUUAUUUAAGGUCUAAUCUGCUCAAUGAGAAUUUAAAUUGCCGCGGUAUCUUAACUGUGCAAAGGUAGCAUAAUAAUUAGUUUUUUUAUUGAAAGCUGGAAUGAAUGAUUGGACAAGAAAACUACUGUCUCUUAAUAAUUUAUUAUUGAAAUUAAUUUUUAAGUUAAAAAGCUUAAAUUUUUUUUAAAGACGAGAAGACCCUAUAGAGUUUAAUUUUUACUUUUUAUAUUAUUAUUUUGUAAUGGGUUAUUUUAUUAUGAAGUAAAAAUUUAAUUGGGGUGAUUAAAAAAUUUAGUAAACUUUUUUAAAUUAUUAUUAUUUAUUUGUAAAUUUUGAGUCUAAUAUUUUUAAAUUUAAUAUAAAUUACCUUAGGGAUAACAGCGUAAUUCUUUUUUGAAGUUCUUAUUUAAAGAAGAGAUUGCGACCUCGAUGUUGGAUUAAAAUUUAUUUUUGGUGCAGAAGCUAAAAAAUUUAAGUCUGUUCGACUUUUAAAAUUUUACAUGAUCUGAGU
rnacentral:rRNA from 1 species